rnacentral:rRNA from 1 species
CAAGCGAGGUAGGAGUGCUGUUGGCAAAUCCGCAGCACGAUCUGAAGACGUGAUGCGUACCGAACAUAAGUAGGGAAGUCCAGGCCCCUGGCUGUCAAGAAAAGCCGCUAUUGUUUUAUAUGUGCCCGUACCGCAAACCGACACAGGUGGAUGAGGAGAGAAUCCUAAGGCCGACGGGAGAAGUAUUGUUAAGGAACUCGGCAAAAUGACUCCGUAACUUCGGGAGAAGGAGUGCCAUGAGAGUGGCCGCAGAGAAAUGGCCCAAGCAACUGUUUAGCAAAAACACAGGUCUAUGCAAAACCGCAAGGUGAAGUAUAUGGGCUGACGCCUGCCCGGUGCUGGAAGGUUAAGGGGAGAGGUUAGCGCAAGCGAAGCUUUGAACUUAAGCCCCAGUAAACGGCGGCCGUAACUAUAACGGUCCUAAGGUAGCGAAAUUCCUUGUCGGGUAAGUUCCGACCCGCACGAAAGGCGUAAUGAUUUGGGCACUGUCUCAACGAUACACCCGGUGAAAUUGAAAUACCAGUGAAGAUGCUGGUUACCUGCGCCAGGACGGAAAGACCCCAUGGAGCUUUACUCCAGUUUGAUACUGGGAUUCGGCAUGGUAUGUACAGGAUAGGUGGGAGACUGAGAAGGUAUGACGUCAGUUGUACCGGAGUCGCUGUUGGGAUACCACCCUUACCAUGUUGGAUUUCUAACCUGUGGCCGUAAGCCGGUCAGGGGACAAUGUCAGGCGGGGAGUUUGACUGGGGCGGUCGCCUCCGAAAGGGUAUCGGAGGCGCUCAAAGGUUCCCUCAGAAUGGUUGGAAACCAUUCGAAGAGUGCAAAGGCAGAAGGGAGCUUGACUGUGACACCGACGGGUGGAGCAGGUACGAAAGUAGGACUUAGUGAUCCGGUGGUAUAAAGUGGGAUUGCCAUCGCUCAACGGAUAAAAGCUACCCUGGGGAUAACAGGCUUAUCACUCCCAAGAGUUCACAUCGACGGAGUGGUUUGGCACCUCGAUGUCGGCUCAUCGCAUCCUGGGGCUGUAGCAGGUUCCAAGGGUUGGGCUGUUCGCCCAUUAAAGCGGUACGCGAGCUGGGUUCAGAACGUCGUGAGACAGUUCGGUCCCUAUCCGGCGCGGGCGGAGGAUAUUUGAGAGGAGCUGUCCUUAGUACGAGAGGACCGGGAUGGACGGACCACUGGUGUAUCUGUUGUCGACCAACGGCAUGGCAGAGUAGCCAAGUCUGGAAGGGAUAAACGCUGAAGGCAUCUAAGCGUGAAGCCCCCCUCAAGAUGAGAUAUCCCUCCUUCGGGAGUAAGACCCCUUGAAGACUACAAGGUAGAUAGGGCAGAGGUGGAAGUGUGGCAACACAUGGAGCUGACUGUUACUAAUAGGUCGAGGGCUUGA